rnacentral:rRNA from 14 species
CAAGCUACUAAGUGCGAUCGGUGGAUGCCUUGGCACCAAGAGCCGAUGAAGGACGUUGUGACCUGCGAUAAGCCCUGGGGAGUUGGUGAGCGAGCUGUGAUCCGGGGGUGUCCGAAUGGGGAAACCUGGAAUGUCCGGAGUAGUGUCCGGUGGCCCUGCCCUGAAUGUAUAGGGGUGUGGGUGGUAACGCGGGGAAGUGAAACAUCUUAGUACCCGUAGGAAGAGAAAACAAGUGUGAUUCCGUGAGUAGUGGCGAGCGAAAGCGGAGGAGGCUAAACCGUGUGUGUGUUCAAGCCGGCAGGUGUUGCAUGUGCGGGGUUGUGGGGGCCUGUGUGAUCCUGCUGCCGUGGGAUCGGCUUGCAUGUGGUGUGAAGUUGAAUCGUCUGGGAAGGCGGACCGUAGUGGGUGAGAGUCCCGUAGACGUGAGUGUCAUGUGUGGUUGUCAGGUUGCCCCAAGUAGCGCGGUACUCGUGGAAUGUCGCGUGAAUCUGGCGGGACCACCCGUUAAGCCUAAAUACUUCUUGGUGACCGAUAGUGUAUCAGUACCGUGAGGGAAUGGUGAAAAGUACCCCGGGAGGGGAGUGAAAUAGUACCUGAAACCAUGUGCCUACAAACCGUUGGAGCCUCCUUGUGGGGUGACAGCGUGCCUUUUGAAGAAUGAGCCUGCGAGUUAGUGAUACGUGGCGAGGUUAACCCGUGUGGGGAAGCCGUAGCGAAAGCGAGUCCGAACAGGGCGCCGAAGUCGCACGAUCUAGACCCGAAGCCGAGUGAUCUACCCAUGGCCAGGUUGAAGCGCGGGUAAGACCGCGUGGAGGACCGAACCCACUUAGGUUAAAAACUGAGGGGAUGAGCUGUGGGUAGGGGUGAAAGGCCAAUCAAACUCGGUGAUAGCUGGUUCUCCCCGAAAGCUAUUUAGGUAGCGCCUCAUGUAUCACUGUAGGGGGUAGAGCACUGUUUCGGCUAGGGGGUCAUCCCGACUUACCAAACCGAUGCAAACUCCGAAUACCAAUGAGUACUAUCCGGGAGACAGACUGCGGGUGCUAACGUCCGUAGUCAAGAGGAAAACAAUCCAGACCGCCAGCUAAGGCCCC